UACGUAGGGGGCAAGCGUUGUCCGGAAUCAUUGGGCGUAAAGAGCGCGUAGGCGGUCCGGUAAGUCAGCUGUGAAAGUCAAGGGCUCAACCCUUGAAAGCCGGUUGAUACUGUCGGGCUAGAGUCCGGAAGAGGCGAGUGGAAUUCCCGGUGUAGCGGUGAAAUGCGCAGAUAUCGGGAGGAACACCAAUGGCGAAGGCAGCUCGCUGGGACGGUACUGACGCUGAGGCGCGAAAGCUAGGGGAGCAAACGGG
rnacentral:rRNA from 1 species